rnacentral:tRNA from 1 species
GCAUCGGUGGUUCAGUGGUAGAAUUCUCGCCUGCCACGCGGGAGGCCUGGGUUCGAUUCCCGACCGAUGCA